rnacentral:rRNA from 1 species
GAUGAACGCUGGCGGCGUGCCUAAUACAUGCAAGUCGAGCGAACGGACGAGAAGCUUGCUUCUCUGAUGUUAGCGGCGGACGGGUGAGUAACACGUGGAUAACCUACCUAUAAGACUGGGAUAACUUCGGGAAACCGGAGCUAAUACCGGAUAAUAUUUUGAACCGCAUGGUUCAAAAGUGAAAGACGGUCUUGCUGUCACUUAUCGAUGGAUCCGCGCUGCAUUAGCUAGUUGGUAAGGUAACGGCUUACCAAGGCAACGAUGCAUAGCCGACCUGAGAGGGUGAUCGGCCACACUGGAACUGAGACACGGUCCAGACUCCUACGGGAGGCAGCAGUAGGGAAUCUGCCGCAAUGGGCGAAAGCCUGACGGAGCAACGCCGCGUGAGUGAUGAAGGUCUUCGGAUCGUAAAACUCUGUUAUUAGGGAAGAACAUAUGUGUAAGUAGCUGUGCACAUCUUGACGGUACCUAAUCAGAAAGCCACGGCUAACUACGUG